GUGAGGAAUAUUGCGCAAUGGAGGCAACUCUGACGCAGCCAUGCCGCGUGCAGGAAGAAGGCGCUACGCGUUGUAAACUGCUUUUAACCGGGAAGAAACCCCAGGACGUGUCCUGGGUUGACGGUACGGGAGGAAUAAGCACCGGCUAACUUCGUGCCAGCAGCCGCGGUAAUACGAAGGGUGCAAGCGUUAUCCGGAUUCAUUGGGCUUAAAGGGUGCGUAGGCGGAGCGUUAAGUCAGUGGUGAAAUCCUGCAGAUUAACUGUAGACUUGCCAUUGAUACUGGCGCUCUUGAGUGCGCUUGAAGUGGGCGGAAUGUGCCGUGUAGCGGUGAAAUGCUUAGAUAUGGCACAGAACACCAAUUGCGAAGGCAGCUCACUAAGGCGAUACUGACGCUGAGGCACGAAAGCGUGGGGAUCGAACAGGAUUAGAUACCCGAGUAGUCC
rnacentral:rRNA from 1 species